GAUGAACGCUGGCGGCGUGCCUAAUACAUGCAGGUCGAGCGAAUGGAUUAAGAGCUUGCUCUUAUGAAGUUAGCGGCGGACGGGUGAGUAACACGUGGGUAACCUGCCCAUAAGACUGGGAUAACUCCGGGAAACCGGGGCUAAUACCGGAUAACAUUUUGAACCGCAUGGUUCGAAAUUGAAAGGCGGCUUCGGCUGUCACUUAUGGAUGGACCCGCGUCGCAUUAGCUAGUUGGUGAGGUAACGGCUCACCAAGGCAACGAUGCGUAGCCGACCCGGGAGGGUGAUCGGCCACACUGGGACUGAGACACGGCCCAGACUCCUACGGGAGGCAGCAGUAGGGAAUCUUCCGCAAUGGACGAAAGUCUGACGGAGCAACGCCGCGUGAGUGAUGAAGGCUUUCGGGUCGUAAAACUCUGUUGUUAGGGAAGAACAAGUGCUAGUUGAAUAAGCUGGCACCUUGACGGUACCUAACCAGAAAGCCACGGCUAACUACGUGCCAGCCGCCGCAGUAA
rnacentral:rRNA from 1 species